ensembl:lncRNA
CCCACUCCGCUCCCGCUGCGGGGCCGGCACAGUGCGGCGCAACGCUCGCUUGGUGACCGGCGCCGUGGAUCUCCGGGCAGGGCUGCGGCAUCCCGACAGGAUGCCCUCCCCGAGCCCUGGCGCAGAACGUUCUGCGGGACAACCCUGUCAAGAGGGUCCUCGGGACGGGAGGGGCGGGGAAGCAAGCUGAGGACUACGGUUCAAACGAGAGCCGUGCUUCCCUCCUGGCAUCCGCUCCCCAGGAAGCGGGACGCACCCGUCGCUGCACGACCAUCCUGCAGUCCUUCCCACCGUGGCGGUGCCGACGCUCUGGCACCGCCUGGGUUUGGAGCUCUCUGAGCCGUGGUGCUGGGUGUUUUGACUGUGGGAAUGCUAGUAAACCUGUUCACCACAGUGCUGUAAUUGCCUCUACUGGUGGCGUUAGGCAAUGAAAUCAGACAGUGGUGAGAGAUUUCCUCUGGACGUUCAUUUCAACCUCUGUAGAAAUUCUCUUCAGACAAAAUGGAGAUCAUAGGAUCAUAGAAUUCUUAGAAUUGGAAGGGGCCACCGAAGGCCAACUCUCCUGCAAUGAACAGGGACACCAAAUUUCUGCCUUUAUAAUUAGCAGUGAUAAUGUUUCUUACAGGAUCUCUCUAAAUCAUACUUGAUUGCUACGAACUCUUAAAAUUAGUCCUGUUCAUUAGGAGAGAGGUAAAAGAAUCUAGAAAGUAACUGCAGAAAAGGCUCUGGGGGUCUUGCUGGACACCAAGUUGAACAUGAGCCAGCAACGUGCCCUUGCAGCAAAGAAGGCCAAUGAUAUCCUGGGCUGCAUCAGGAGUAUUGCCAGCCAGCUGAGGAAGGUGAUCCUUGGCCUUUGCUCAGCACUUGUGAGGCUAUACCUAGAGUUCUGUGUCCAGUUCUGGUCUCCCCAGUAUGAGGAACAUUAUGAAGAGAGCUGAAGAUGAUGGAGAUCCUGGAGCACUCCUCCUCUGAGGAAAGGCUGAAAGAGCUGGGAGUGCUUAGUCUGGAGAGAAGGCAGCUCAGAAGAGGUCUCACCAGUGUCUGUAAAUACCUACAGGGAGGAUUUGGAGAAGACAGAACCACUCUAAUAGUGUGCAAGACAACCUUCUAACAGUGCCAGGACACUUCAUAAAUGUGCC